UACGUAGGGGGCGAGCGUUGUCCGGAUUUAUUGGGCGUAAAGAGCUCGUAGGCGGUUCGGUAAGUCGGAUGUGAAAUCUCCACGCUCAACGUGGAGGGGCCAUUCGAUACUGCCGUGACUCGAGUCCGGUAGGGGAGUGUGGAAUUCCCGGUGUAGCGGUGAAAUGCGCAGAGAUCGGGAGGAACACCCGUAGCGAAGGCGGCACUCUGGGCCGGUACUGACGCUGAGGAGCGAAAGCGUGGGGAGCAAACAGG
rnacentral:rRNA from 1 species